rnacentral:lncRNA from 1 species
AAAGAGAGUCCAGAAGAAGAAAGAAAGGAUAAUUAAAAGAAAGAUAAUUAUCAGAAGAGAGUCCAGAAUAAGAAGGGAAGUGUAAGUAAAAGAAAGAUAAUUACCAGAGAGAUCCAGAGGAAGAAAGAAGUAGAUUUUCCCCAGGUAUCUUUGUUUCUCGGCCGCUGAGCAGCGCUUUUAGGGUUUUUUUAUGACCCAUGUCUAUUUAAAAAGCUUAGUCAAUGGCCCAGUCAAGCUAGUCAACAACCCAGUCAACUAUUACACAAAAGCGCGCUUUUUUUGCGCUUCUCGCAUCUCGCUUAAUCCCUGGAAGCGCAGAAAAGUGCUCGCAUCAUUGAACUCGCAUCGCAUAUACUAAGCGAUGUGCAUAAGCUGCGCAUAAGCGCGCUUCUCGCUUAUGCGCGCGCAUAAGCGCGCUUUUAACAACACUGGUGUAACC